GCCCCGAUACUCCAAUUCGGCAGAGAGGGCGAGCUCAAACCUCGUACAGUGUGGGUUCGAGUCCCACUCGGGGCA
rnacentral:tRNA from 1 species